CCCAGUAGAUCUGAUGGUAAAGAAUCUGCCUGCAAUGCAGGAGACCGGGUUCAAGCCCUGGGUUGGGA
rnacentral:tRNA from 1 species